AGAACCCAGCCUCCAGUCCACACUCUGCGUGUUUUUGUGUCCUGCCAGGCACCGUGGUCUCAUCCGCCUGCACAGCUGAGUCCAGUGGGAGCUGAUGCCAUGACCCUCACCCUCUCAGUCCUGAUUUGCCUCGGGCUGAAUGUGGGCCCCAGGACCUGCGUGCAGGCAGGAGGGACUCCCAUGGGCCUGGGAGAGACAGAACCCACUGGAGCCUGGAGCCAAGGCCAAGUUCCACAUUCUAUCCACGGUGUAUGACAGUGCAGGGCGAUACCGCUGCUACUAUGAGACCCCUGCAGGCUGGUCAGAGCCCAGUGACCCCCUGGAGCUGGUGGCGACAGGAUUCUAUGCAGAACCCACUCUCUUAGCCCUGCCGAGUCCUGUGGUGGCCUCAGGAGGAAAUGUGACCCUCCAGUGUGAUACACGGGACGGACUUCUCACGUUUGUUCUUGUUGAGGAAGAACAGAAGCUCCCCAGGACCCUGUACUCACAGAAGCUCCCCAAAGGGCCAUCGCGGGCCCUGUUCCCUGUGGGUCCCGUGACCCCCAGCUUCAGGUGGAGGUUCAGAUGCUAUUACUAUUACAGGAAAAACCCUCAGGUGUGGUCGCACCCCAGUGACCUCCUGGAGAUUCUGGUCCCAGGCGUGUCUAGGAAGCCCUCCCUCCUGAUCCCGCAGGGCUCUGUCGUGGCCCGCGGAGGCAGCCUGACCCUGCAGUGUCGCUCUGAUGUCGGCUAUGACAGAUUUGUUCUGUACAAGGAGGGGGGACAUGACCUCGUCCAGGGCUCUGGCCAGCAGCCCCAGGCUGGGCUCUCCCAGGCCAACUUCACCCUGAGCCCUGUGAGCCGCUCCUACGGGGGUCAGUACAGAUGCUACGGUGCACACAACCUCUCCCCUAGGUGGUCGGCCCCCAGUGACCCCCUGGACAUCCUGAUCGCAGGACUGAUCCCUGACAGACCCUCCCUCUCGGUGCAGCCGGGCCCCACGGUGGCCUCAGGAGAGAACGUGACCCUGCUGUGUCAGUCAUGGCGUCAGAUAGACACUUUCUUUUUGACCAAGGAGGGGGCAGCCCAUCCCCCGCUGUGUCUAAAGUCAAAGUACCAGUUUUAUAAAUACCAGGCUGAAUUCUCCAUGAGUCCUGUGACCUCAGCCCGGGGUGGAACCUACCGAUGCUACAGCGCAAUCAGGUCCUACCCCCACCUGCUGUCCAGCCCUAGUUACCCCCUGGAGCUCGUGGUCUCAGGACCCUCUGGGGAUCCCAGCCUCUCACCUACAGGCUCCACCCCCACACCUGCAGGCCCUGAGGACCAGCCCCUCACCCCCACGGGGUUGGAUCCCCAGAGUGGUGAGUGGGGGCUCUGAGUGGGAGGUGGGCGGGGUCCAGGGGAGGCAGGGGUGGGUUCUGUCGUAGGUUCAGGCUCCUCUGGAGAUGGUGAAGUGCACAAGCCCUUCCCCUGCCUGGGCCUCAGUUUCUCCGAGUGUAAAGGAGAGAGGCCUGCACUGAUGGGAUUCUUCAGGGGACUGUCCUGUCCCACCGGCAGCAGUGAUGGUGACCUGGGGCAGGGGAGGGGAGCAGGGCCGUGGUUUGGGGCAUUCAGGCUCUCUCCCUGCAGCUCUGGGGCUCCGCUCAGGUGCAGAGAACGAGGGCUGCGGGUCAGACUCCUGGGUUCACUCCCCAGCUCUGCCGCAUCCCACCGUGGGCCCAGGCAGGUCAACUUUCUACUCUGACUCAGUUUCAGCAGCUGUAAACUGGCUCAGUCCCAUCCAGCUCACAGAACUGCUGCGAGGUGUAAGCAAAAUCAUGGGACCUGGCCCUGUACACAGCUCGGCAGGGGCACCGUCCUCCUGCUACCCUCAGCCCUUCCCAGAUACACACAGAGCCCCUAUCCAGACAGGUUCUGCAUGGGAGUAUGGGAACUUGGCAGAGUGGGAAACGGACCUGGCUGAGCUGGGGGUGAGAGCAAUGCAGGGUCCGUCCUGCACAACCCACUCCCUCUCCCAGGCCCUGCUGUGCUGGGGAAGGGAAGAUCGUAAGGAGGACACCAGCCCCAGAUGGAGACACUAGGACAGGCCCCUCCUGUCAAAUAGGAAACAGGUGUCCACCUGGUGGGGCAGCAGGAGGACAGCUGGGGAAAACACAAAGUCCCUGGUUCCCUUCCCAGACCUGCUUCUUCCAGGCUAGGGAGCCUGGGGCAGGCGAUUCCCCUCUCUGAGCCUCAGUUUGCUCCUCUGUGAAUUGGGGGGUUGGCAAUCCCAUGUUGCAUGACUGCUGUGAGGGUUGGAGCUCAUAAAGGAAAGACCUAGCUCGCGCCUGCACACAGAAGGUGCUCACAUCAAUGAUGUCAUCCCCAUUCCCAACGUCAUCACGCUCAAGGUCUGGGAAGGCACCUGGGGGUUGUGACUGGGGUCUCAGUGGCCUUCGUCCUGCUGCUGUUCCUCCUCCUCUUCCUCCUCCUCCGACAUCGGCAUCAGAGCAAACACAGGACAUCGGCCCAUUUCUACCGUCCUGCAGGGGCUGCGGGGCCAGAGCCCAAGGACCAGGUCCUGCAGAAGAGGGCCAGCCCAGUUGCUGACACCCAGGAGGAAAUUCUCAAUGCUGCUGUGAAGGACACACAGCCCAAGGACGGGGCGGAGAUGGACGCUCGGCAGAGCCCACGUGAUGAAGACCCCCAGGCAGUGACAUAUGCCGAGGUGAAACACUCCAGACCUAGGAGAGAAAUGGCCUCUCCUCCUUCCCCACUGUCUGGGGAAUUCCUGGACACAAAGGACACACAGGCAGAAGAGGACAGGCAGAUGGACACUCAGGUGAGUCCUUUCCUCUCCAGACCCCCAGGCCUCCCCGACCCCCACCACGUUCCUUCCCUCUCACUCUCCCCCGCUGCAGGCUGCUGCAUCUGAAGCCCCCCAGGAUGUGACCUACGCCCAGCUUCACAGCUUGACCCUCAGACGGGAGGCAACUGAGCCUCCUCCAUCCCAGGAAAGGGAACCUCCAGCUGAGCCCAGCAUCUACGCCCCCCUGGCCAUCCACUAGCCCACGGGGGACCCAGAUCUCACACUCAACAGGAGACUCAGGUACUCCAGAAGGCAGAGGAGCUGCCCCCAGUGGACACCAAUGAACCCCAGCCAGCCUGGACCCCUAACAAAGACCACCAGGACAUCCUGGGAACUCUGGGACUCACUAGAUUCUGCAGUCAAAGAUGACUAAUAUCCUUGCAUUUUUGAAAUGAAGCCACAGACUUCUCAAUAAAUCAAUGAGCUGAGAAAACUGAAACAGAAAUUAGAGCAUGGUAUAAAUUUGGAAUGAUAAUGUAAAUAUUACACAUUAAAUGAUGAAAUCAGAAAACUACAAAUGAGCGAAUGAAUUAGAAAAGAAUAAAACCUACGUAAUU
rnacentral:sRNA from 1 species